rnacentral:rRNA from 1 species
UAGUCAUAUGCUUGUCUCAAAGAUUAAGCCAUGCAUGUCUAAGUAUAAGCAAUUUGUACUGUGAAACUGCGAAUGGCUCAUUAAAUCAGUUAUCGUUUAUUUGAUAGUACCUUACUACAUGGAUACCUGUGGUAAUUCUAGAGCUAAUACAUGCUAAAAACCUCGACUUCGGAAGGGGUGUAUUUAUUAGAUAAAAAACCAACGCCCUUCGGGGCUCCUUGGUGAAUCACAAUAACUAAGCGAAUCGCAUGGCCUUGCGCCGGCGAUGGUUCAUUCAAAUUUCUGCCCUAUCAACUUUCGAUGGUAAGAUAGUGGCUUACCAUGGUGGCAACGGGUAACGGGGAAUUAGGGUUCGAUUCCGGAGAGGGAGCCUGAGAAACGGCUACCACAUCCAAGGAAGGCAGCAGGCGCGCAAAUUACCCAAUCCCGACACGGGGAGGUAGUGACAAUAAAUACUGAUACGGGGCUCUUUUGGGUCUCGUAAUUGGAAUGAGUACAAUCUAAAUCCCUUAACGAGGAACAAUU